rnacentral:rRNA from 1 species
AGCGAACGCUGGCGGCAGGCUUAACACAUGCAAGUCGAGCGCCCCGCAAGGGGAGCGGCAGACGGGUGAGUAACACGUGGGAACGUACCCUUUGGUUCGGAACAACCCAGGGAAACUUGGGCUAAUACCGGAUACGUCCGUAAGGAGAAAGAUUUAUCGCCAAAGGAUCGGCCCGCGUCUGAUUAGCUAGUUGGUGAGGUAAUGGCUCACCAAGGCUACGAUCAGUAGCUGGUCUGAGAGGAUGAUCAGCCACAUUGGGACUGAGACCCGGCCCAAACUCCAGCGGGAGGCAGCAGUGGGGAAUAUUGGACAAUGGGGGCAACCCUGAUCCAGCCAUGCCGCGUGAGUGAUGAAGGCCCUAGGGUUGUAAAGCUCUUUUAGCAGGGAAGAUAAUGACGGUACCUGCAGAAAAAGCCCCGGCUAACUUCGUGCCAGCAGCCGCCGUAA